CCCGCUCAGAAACUACAAAUGAAUUGACGGGGGCCCGCACAAGCGGAGGAGCAUGUGGUUUAAUUCGAUGAUACGCGAGGAACCUUACCUGGGCUCGAACGUAAGAUGACUGUAGGUGAAAGCUUACAUCUCUUCGGAGCAUUUUACGAGGUGCUGCAUGGUUGUCGUCAGCUCGUGCCGUGAGGUGUCGGGUUAAGUCCCAUAACGAGCGCAACCCUACCUUUAGUUGCCAUCAGGUAAUGCUGGGGACUCUAAAGGAACUGCCUACGCAAGUAGUGAGGAAGGCGGGGAUGACGUCAAAUCAGCACGGCCCUUACGUCCAGGGCUACACACGUGCUACAAUGGCCGAUACAGAGGGCAGCUACCUGGUGACAGGAUGCAAAUCUCCAAAGUCGGUCUCAGUUCGGAUCGGAGUCUGCAACCCGACUCCGUGAAGUUGGAUUCGCUAGUAAUCGCGCAUCAGCCAUGGCGCGGUGAAUACGUUCCCGGGCCUU
rnacentral:rRNA from 1 species